rnacentral:lncRNA from 1 species
GGACCCUCCCUCCCUCUGGGGGGACCCUCCCUCUCUGUGGGGACCCUCCCUCUCUGUGGGGACCCUCCCUCUCUCUGUGGGGACCCUCCCUCUCUCCUGGGGGACCCUCCCUCUCUCCGUGGGGACCCUCCCUCUCUCUGUGGGGACCCUCCCUCUCUGUGGGGACCCUACCUCUCUCUGUGGGGACCCUCCCUCCCUCUGUGGGGACCCUCCCUCUCUCUGUGGGACCCUCCCUCUCUGUGGGGACCCUCCCUCUCUCCAUGGGGACCCUCCCUCUCUCCAUGGGGACCCUCCCUCUCUCCGUGGGGACCCUCCCUCUCUCUGUGGGGACCCUCCCUCUCUGUGGGGACCCUCCCUCUCUCCAUGGGGACCCUCCCUCUCUCUGUGGGGACCCUCCCUCUCUGUGGAGACCCUCCCUCUGUGCUUCUAUUCUAGGAAGUGGUUUGGGUUCAGGACUCAGGAUCUUGGAUUCUGCUGCCACUGGCACGUGGGGACCAGCCUCAAUUCCACCUGACCUGGGCGAGGCUUUCUGAUCCUCCUCCUCAUCUCCUACCCCCCACCUGCUGAUGGAUCACAAGUGCUUUCGGUGCCCUCUUCAGAAAUAUUGGUUUCCUGAAGAUCGUGAUGAUAUUUAUGAGAAGGAUUUCUGGAAGAAGCUGGUUAAAUGUGACUGCACAAAGAUCUGAAGAAGCAGUGGGAGACAAGUUGAGACUCUUCCAGGAAGGAAGACCAGGGAGGGGAGAGGGAAGAGCCCUCUGGUCACCCGGGAGCUGGCACCCACCAGGUGGAAGUGAUGCUGGGUCCUGACAGAAGGCAGACGUCUCCCGAGUCUGAAAUCAGCAUGAUAAGUAAGAAAAACAACUCUUCUAAAAAUACUCCACCUGCCCUGAAUGGCGAGAUGUCAGACCACUGCAGGAAGGAUGACGCAUGUGGUGAUGAAGGACCUCGAGGCAGGUUGAACCCAGUUCUCUAGCUGGGUCUUAAGCCAAGUUUGCAGCACUGUGCCGUGGCAGCUCUGUCCCCCGGCAGCAUGGAUUUGAGAACACUCAGGUCAGAUUUCACUGGGGUCAGCGAUCUGGAAAGGAGCAGUAAUCGAAAGAGAACAGACGUUUUCUCUCAUGUGCUCCAGAGUGGCCGGCCUGAGAGUCCCAGGGCCUUUUGCAGAGACUGAGAUGUGCUGUUGGCCGGAGGCCUCGAGUCCAGCAGCUAGAGGCCUGAAGCUAAUCAUUGGCGCACCAGGGCAAGGAGAUCGGAGGAAUCGCCAUGGAAGGUUACGGCCAAGGAGGAAGAAAAAUGUCAGGAUAGUGGGAAAGAGCAGCAUUUGAAAACUCCUUGUGAGACCAGAACAGAGUCUGCUCUUAAAAAGAAACAGUUCACGUGGCGGAAAAGCCCGCGUCUGCAGGAGCCCCUGAGCCAUAAAGUGGCUCAUGAAUUAGGGGGCAGGUUUCUCUCCUUUUUCACGCCCCCAGCUUAAAGGAUUGACCUUUGGUCUUGGCAUGCUCCAGAAUACACCAUCGCUUCCUCUCUCUACCUUUCCUGUCCUCUCCUCUGGGAAAGGCUCUGACACUGUCCUGGAGAUCGGGCAUCAGGCUGCCCAGCCGUCUGGGAGGCCUCCAGACCCUCUCCCUGUGCUGAUUGACAGCACGCCUGUACCAUCCUGCAUCCUGGGUGCCUCGUCUCCAGAUCCUCACUAACCUGUAAGCAUCUCGGUGGCAGGACCUGUGUGCUUGCCUAACACGCUCAUGUAUUUCCUAACACGUAGUGUUGAUUUCGUAAAUGUCUGGAUGAAAGUUUGGAUAAACACAUAAGAUUAAUGACCCGUUGUCCUCUAUUCAGGGCAAAACCAGUCUUGUCUGAUCAAGCACCCUGAGCCUUAGUCUCUGGACUGGUUUGUUUAUUUUGUCUAACUGUUGCACAGUGUCCACCUUUCGCUGUCUUUUCUAGGUGAAAGCACCAAACUCAAGUACUCCAGGGAAUAAAUAAUUCAUUCAGCAAAUAUGGUGUAUAAACGGCUGAUUCUCCUAUGUUCUCAACUCUUGUCUAUGUCAGGCUGCAUUUCCUACUUUAUCACUUCCUUAUUAUUAAAGAUCCAACUUUACAAGACAUCAGGAGUAACGGAAAAAAGGACGUUAAGAUUUCACAGGGCGAUUAGGGAACAAGAUAUACAUUGGGUACCAUCUGGCAGAUUCUUAAUUGAUUCUCAACUCAUAAAUCUAGUCUUCCCCCGCGUCUGCCCUGCCCGGGCUGGUUCAUCUCACUUCCUUCUUCUCCCCCACAUCCCUCUGAAAUUCCCCUGUCGGAUGCCAGCAGUUCAGCUGUGUAUACCACGCUCUGCACAACUCCGUAUAAAUAGACUGGCGAUUCUAUCUUUCUUGAGAAAACCUCCUGGGAGUCUGAUGUUAUCUCACUACAGAUGCAAUGGAGCCGCACAAAGAACCAGGUUCCCUUUUGUGUUGGAAAAAAGAAGUUACCAUUGAUUGCCAUCCUCGUGGAACUCAGUCCACAUAACUCUGCACCUCUACAAGACUGUCUUGCUUCUGAGGUCAGCAGUCGUACCAGAUCUGAACGUACAAAGUCAGUGUUCAUGGGGGCAGCUGCCCUAUUUUAUCUGGGGAGUUACUGGGGCUCACAAACCUGCAGCAGCAAGCACUAAACCCACAGAUUUUCAGAAAUACAGCCACAUCUCCAUGAUUCUACCGUCUCCUUCUGGGUUUCGCCUUCUCAUGUGAGAUGUUCCCUGCCUCCAAAAUAUUUCCUAAUUUCUCCUCAAUCCAAUAAAGUUUCAGAAAACCUG